CUUCACAAGAAGGCAAGUUAUGAGCUGGCUACUCUUUUUUAAAAGGAAGAGACAAGUUUGAGAGACAGCCUAUCACACAUGCAGCCUGACAACAUAUCAAAGCUUAAUAUUUUUCCUUAGCCUCCUACUUAACCAUACUUAGUUAGCUCCUCCAUUAUUUCAAACUAUCAGUUCCAAGCUCAACCACUGUUAAGACCCUAAACAGGGCGCGGAUUAAUGGGUACAGAGGCACCAAGUUGGGCAGAUCAAUGGGGGACAGGAGGAUUUGGUGCUAUGGAUGAAGAGGAAAUUAGUAAGAAAGAGAAUGAUAGUAACAAGAAAAGCAGUGGACUUGGGAAAGCUAAAGCAGUGGCAUUGGCUAGUGUUAAAAAGAUGAAGAAUGGCACUUGUGUAGGUAUCAAAUGGUUAAAAAGUAAAUGCUACAAGAAAAACAUCAUCUCUUCUUCUUGAUGAUUUUAUGUAAAUCCAGAUCAGACAUGUUGUAACCACAUUCAUUAACAAGGAAAGAGUUAUACAUUACUACUCUUUUAGGCAACAUA